CCUACGGGUGGCAGCAGUGGGGAAUAUUGCACAAUGGGGGAAACCCUGAUGCAGCGACGCCGCGUGAGUGAAGAAGUAUUUCGGUACGUAAAACUCUAUUAGCAGGGAAGAAAAUGAAGGUACCUGACUAAGAAUCCCCGGCUAACUACGUGCCAGCAGCCGCGGUAACACGUAGGGGGCAAGCGUUAUCCGGAUUUACUGGGUGUAAAGGGGGCGUAGACGGCAGCGCAAGUCUGAAGUGAAAUCCCAUGGCUUAACCAUGGAUCUGCAUUGGAAACUGUGCGGCUGGAGUGCAGGAGAGGUAAGCGGAAUUGCUGGUGUAGCGGUGAAAUGCGUAGAUAUUAGGAGGAACACCAGUGGCGAAGGCGGCUUACUGGACUGUAACUGACGUUGAGGCUCGAAAGCGUGGGGAGCAAACAGGAUUAGAUACCCUAGUAGUC
rnacentral:rRNA from 1 species